ensembl:lncRNA
UGGCACCUCAGAGUAGGACGGUCAUUACACGGCAUAAGCCCCCAAUGGAUCACAGGGGCGGGGAAGUGUGAAGGUUGCAAGGAGAUAGAUGGCACACCAAGGCAGGGCAGGGCGCCCCCUGGAGGUGCCUUUCUUAAGGUGUUGGUCCGGACAGGCAGCAUUUUGGAAGCGAGAAGCAGGCAAAGGAUGCCAUGGCAGGCAAGGCCAUCUCCUGACUGGGGGGGAGGAAAGGGGGGGCCCUUCUGAGCCCAGGAUCUCCAUAGGGAGUUGCCUGAGGGGGACACUGGCCGUGGCCCCGGAACAGAGGGCAGUGGGGGAGUGCCGGAGGAACGGGAGGCCCCUGCUGGCAUCCUCUCCGGCUAGUGGCCCUCGCGCCCACUGCCAGGGGAAAAGACAAGGCACCGAACCUCCUACCUCCCAUUUGCUUCCAUGAAGCAUCCCGUUUGUUGUCACUUUGCCCAUGAAUCAGCUGCGCAAACUGAAGGUGGCAGGAAGUUUAUAGGACGUGGCGCACCGUCCACAGUGGCAGGCCAUCUGCUGCCUUUGCAGGGGGUGUGGACAGAAGUAGGUGUGUGCGCCCAGGGCCUCUGACAUUCCCAGUGGCCAGGCAGAAGGCAAAUCAAGGGCCAGGUAUUCUGCUCCUGGGAGGUCAGGGUGUGCCCCCUGGUCUCAGUGCCAAUGUGGAGCCCUUGACGAAGCCAGUGCUGGAAGACACGUGGGGAGGGGGGAGGGGGAGGGAUUCCCUCCCCCCUCUGCUCCCUCAACUGCUUCAGCCAGUCUUGGGCUUCGGUCUGCAGGCCCUUGAGACAAGAGGCGGGAAGGAGGUGGGAAAGGAUCGGGACGAGCUCAGGGGGCCAGGGCUGACGCGCAGGGGGUUAUGGCCCCCAUGACAUCCCCGAGGAUGGAAGGAAGAGCUCCGUGAGAAAGAGAAAACUGUGUUGCCUGGGAAAAGCAUGCGAGUGACACAAAAGCUGAGCUCCAAACAGCAUCGCCAGUUGCCCUACAGACUCCCAGGAGCUGGAAAGAGUAUUUUCCCUUACGAGCCGCCCAGAAGAGACCCUCUUCUUCCUUGCUUUUCUCUGCUGGUGGAGCAGCAAACGCCCUCAGCAGAGUCUCACGGGCACUCACUCUCUUUCGCAGGUCCUCUUCCUGAAGCAGCAGAGCAAAGAGAAGGACACUGAUGUGGACAACUGCAGGAGGUCCAAAGAGAAACUUCUGUCAGAAAUCGGCUCCCUCUUGACAGAAAUUGCCUUUCUGAAGGAGGUACGAGAGCAGCUGAGGUACAAGGACCCAGAAUCCAGGAAGGAAACCACCAAGGCCCUUACGGAAACCAUCCAAGCCAAGCUGGAGGUGGCUCACGCGAAGAUCGAGGCGGCGGAGGCCAAGAAGGAGACCUUGGAGGCCCAGAGGAGGGCCGAGGAGGCCAAGGAGUCGGCGGAAGCCGCUCAAGCCCGGGAGGACAGCCUCUUGUCCUACGUCUCCAAAAUCGCCACCCUGGCCUACCAGCAGGCUGCCGAGGCCGAGUAUGACUGCGCCCAGGCCCGGAAGGCGAUGGCCGCGGCAGAGGCCAUCAACGUGGCUGCCUUCAGCGAUGCCCGAGGGCACCGCGGCCACAAGCUCCAGCACGAGAAGCACCACCGGAGCUCCCGGAGCAGCCACAGCGACUGCCGGUGUCACCACCACCACGGCCACCACCACGGCCACCACCACGAGCACCGCAGCCACUACGAGACCCAGAGCAACCAGGCCCACUCCGACCUGGAGACCCUGAGCAGCACCCGAUGAGGGCGGGAGGG